rnacentral:misc_RNA from 1 species
GAUGAGGAACGUAGCGAAAUGCGAUAAGUAAUGUGAAUUGCAGAAUUCAGUGAAUCAUCGAAUCUUUGAACGCACAUUGCGCCCGCCAGUAUUCUGGCGGGCAUGCCUGUUCGAGCGUCAUUACAACCCUCAGGCCCCCGGGCCUGGCGUUGGGGAUCGGCGGAAGCCCCCUGCGGGCACAACGCCGUCCCCCAAAUACAGUGGCGGUCCCGCCGCAGCUUCCAUUGCGUAGUAGCUAACACCUCGCAACUGGAGAGCGGCGCGGCCACGCCGUAAAACACCCAACUUCUGAAUGUUGACCUCGAAUCAGGUAGGAAUACCCGCUGAACUUAAGCAUAUCAAUAAGCGGAGGA